CUCGGCAACGGAUAUCUCGGCUCUCGCAUCGAUGAAGAACGUAGCGAAAUGCGAUACUUGGUGUGAAUUGCAGAAUCCCGUGAACCAUCGAGUCUUUGAACGCAAGUUGCGCCCGAAGCCGCCAGGCCGAGGGCACGCCUGCCUGGGCGUCACGCGCCGUUGCCCC
rnacentral:rRNA from 1 species